rnacentral:rRNA from 1 species
GGGUAAGAACCUCACCUAUCUUGAUAUGUAGGUGGGGUUGUGAUAUAUUGUGCCCAGUGGGCCACUUUUGGUAAGCAGAACUGGCGCUGUGGGAUGAACCAAACGCAAUGUUACGGUGCCAAAAUUUACAACUCAUGCAGAUACCAUGAAAGGCGUUGCUUGCUUAAAACAGCAGGACGGUGGACAUGGAAGUCGUAAUCCGCUAAGGAGUGUGUAACAACUCACCUGCCGAAGCAACUAGCCCUUAAAAUGGAUGGCGCUUAAGUUGUAUACCUAUACAUUGCCGCUAAUGUAAAUGAUUUAUACAUAAUUUUGGUUAUGUUUAUAAAUUUUGAAACAUUAGUGAGUAGGAGGGUACAAUGGUGUGCCUAGAAGUGUUUGG